UUCCCCUACGGGACGCAGCAGUGAGGAAUAUUGGUCAAUGGGCGCGAGCCUGAACCAGCCAAGUCGCGUGAGGGAGGACGGCCCUACGGGUUGUAAACCUCUUUUGCCGGGGAGCAACGGGCGUCACGUGUGGCGCCACUGAGAGUACCCGGAGAAAAAGCAUCGGCUAACUCCGUGCCAGCAGCCGCGGUAAUACGGAGGAUGCGAGCGUUAUCCGGAUUUAUUGGGUUUAAAGGGUGCGUAGGCGGUCCGGAAAGUC
rnacentral:rRNA from 1 species